UGGGGUUGCAAGAUGCCUCUGUGACCUCACUGUGCCAUGGGCGUGGCCCGAGACAGCUGCAGGAGCUGCAAGCUGCUUGUCUUGUCUCACCUGGCUGGUCGCCGCAGCUUCACUUAUAUCUUUUUAUAUAAAAAUUCAUGAAUCAAAUGUUGGCAAGAUUGAGCAGCAAGGUUCUAGAGCCUUGUUUCUCCAGCCUGGCUGCAUAUUAGUGCCACCUGGGAGCCUUAGAAGAUAUUACACUUCAGUCUGAGCCCCACUAUCUUUCAUUUAAUUAUUGUAUGGUGUGGACUGGGAAUUGGGAUUUAAAACCUCCCCAGAUAAUUCUACUGUGCAGCCAAAUUUGACAGCCACAACUCUAAAUUUGCUCUGGGGCACCAUUUCAAAUUAAGAAGAGGAAAAAAUUUUUUAAACUCAAAUAAAAUAGGUAUAUGUGGCAUGGUCCUUAAGAUUGCCUGUACUGGACCAAAUUACCUGCUCCUCAGGAAGCCUUGUAGCUCAACUGACAUCAACUACAGAUGGUGCUACAGGAGCAGGUCACUGAGUGAGGAAGAAUGUCUCCAACAACCUGCCUUCCAGAGACACAGAGCCAUCAGGAAGCCAACUCAUCUGAGCAGUUCUCCAGAGGAAGGGAAAAGCAAGCAGGAUGCACUUUCCUGGUAAAGACCAGAGUCGACUCCCCAAGCCUGGCCUGCAGAAUAACUUUGCCCUGGAAGAUGGAAAUGCCCAUUUCAGAUGUGAAUUGCAGAGUGACAGAUGACUCAACCAUCCUAACAAACUAGAACAUGUGAGUUGUUAUCUUCAAAGUAAGCAGAAAAAGUGAAAAGAUGGAAGAGAAAAGCAUCACCAGGAGAGCCUAAAGCAACCAUUGUAGCUUUCAAGAUUAACAACUCAACUACCCCCAGAUCAUAAACAUCCAUCAUUUGAAUUGUCCAAGCCUGAAUCCCAGGGAAAGAAGAUGGUCCAGCUCUUCUUUUAGACUACUGGGAGCAGUUGAGAGUUGGGGAAAUAGCUGUUGAAUAUGAUGCGUUUUGGCUGGAAGAGAGUGAUUGAAGGCCUGAUCUACGUGGUGGUUCCAGUCACAUUUGCCUGUCAUCUCCAAAAUCCAAGCUCUGCAAUUGCCUUGACCACUUUCUCCUUCUUGAUCAUUCUCCAUUCCAAAGGAUGUUGGAAUUCAGUACAA